AGGCUAAAAAACUUAAUUAUAAGGAUAAGAAAUUGAAUAUUGGUCCAGCAAUAAGAAAACAACAAACACGGAGUCCUCAUUCUGCUGUAAUACCAGAAGCUAGUACAAUGUACUUUACUUCAAGCGGAUAUCCUUAUAUUUACCAUAACGGAGCGGCUUAUUUUCAUACAUCUGAAGUUGCUUCUGUUCUGCAGCCAUGGCCAGCUCGCUCUGUUUCCAGUUCACCUAUGAUGGUAGCUCAACCGGUUUAUCAGUCUCCU
rnacentral:lncRNA from 1 species